GCCACGAUGAGGACCGUGCACAGGCCGAUUGACCCAAAAAAUGCCCAGCCCCCUGAGUAGGGGGCAGAAAACCUAAGCCGCCUGGUGGAUGGCUCGGCUCGGGGCGCCGACGAAGGGCGUGGCAAGCUGCGAUAAGCCCCGGCGAGGCGCAGACAGCCGUCGAACCGGGGAUGCCCGAAUGGGACCUCCCGCGGCUCUUGCCGCACUCCCAGUCGGGAGGGGGAACGCGGGGAAUUGAAACAUCUUAGUACCCGCAGGAAAAGAAAGUAAAAGCGAUGCCGUUAGUAGGGGCGACCGAAAG
rnacentral:rRNA from 1 species